UGGAAUCUUCUAGAAGGGGCUGGUUAUCUAGGCCUACUGAGGAAAACCAAGGAGCUGAUACAGUUUGUCAAGUGGAUGGUCUCAGACCUGGGAAUAUUUAGAGACCCCAUGGAGGCUAAUGUUAGCUUGACAGGACGGUGAAUCCCACAAGAGACAAGACCGUGGUCAAGCCCGGGAGGUGUUAACUGAACGAGGUUAAUGGAGGUGGGACGGUCCACCUUAACUGUGGUGGUGCCGUUUUGUUCCUGGGCUACAGAAAAAGGAGAAGGCCAGCUGUCAGCAUUCAUAACUCUCUGCUUCUGGGCUCUGCAUGCACUGUGACCAGAUGCCUCAAGCCCCUGCAGCUCUAUCUUCCCUUGACUAUGAGCCAGAACAAACCUCCACUCACUUAAGCGUCUUCGUGUUGGGUCCCAGCAGCAAGAGAGUUGAUGAACCUACCCACCAGAUGUUACACAUACAGACAAGGAAAGUAACCAAUGGCGGGCGUGUCCCUACAGCAAUGACUACAAACGGCUUGCUCAGUAAUCAAUAGAGGCGUGCCCUUACCAAAGCAAAACAAACAAAGAAGAAAACAAACACAAACUACAGGGAGCUUGCUCAGUAACCAAUAGAGGCGAGCCUCUACAAAAAAGACUCCAGAGAACUCCCUCAUCCCUUUUGCUGCUGCUGUGUGUGUGUGGAGGGUGGGGGUGGUGUGAACAAUUUUUCUUAGUAAAAAUGCUAUGGGCAUUUCCUAGUAUGUAUUACAAAAGCACAUUUAUACUUCGCUGUGUAGGAAGGAAUCUACCUGUAGCUUAGCAGCCACACCCUGCUAAUAUGUUGUUCCUGAGUUAACUUUCAAUCUAAGUACUAAACACCAGGCCCAAGCGGAAUAAAAGUCUUAGUGGCCUUGA